GCCACACCCAGCUGUUGUUUUUAAUUUACACACAGUUCUAACAAGUUUAUUUAGCUUUCCAGUCAGGGAAAUAACAGUGGAGAAGCUGGAAAGUGGUUUCUGUCUGCAGGCCCUUUGGAGGCAGCAAGAAGAAAUAACAGCUGACAAUCCCUCAAUGGUUCAGCAAAAGCAAUGUAAUGGUGGCUCAGAGCAAAAACGACAAAAAGUGCAGGGUCAGAGGACCACUCAGAGAAGGACUAAACCCAGACAGCCCCAAAUCACCAUGGCACGCAGCAGGCUGGUGGGGCAGGUGUGCACAGUGAUUGUUUGAGUCACCACAAAAGUUGAUGUCACAAGAGGUGUCCUGUCCAGUGGUGCACCUUGAGGAUGGCACGUUGGAUCUGGUGGGUGCCAGUCAUAGCUUUGGAGCUGACUUUGGGGCCUUGGGUGGUCAGGACACGUUGCCAACACGAUGGAGACUGGGGAGGCCAGGAAAGAGAGAAGACAGAAGGCAGGAGUUCCAUCCCUCCGUGUGAACCAGCUCCAGAAGGUUCCACAAGUCCCCCUGCGUGUAGGUGGUGUGAGGAGCCAGGUGUGCCUUCAGAAGGUUCCUGUUCACAUCCAAGCAGUGAUGCCCCAGCAAAGUCACUGUGGCACCCUUAAAACGGGGGCAAGGCCCUGACCCUUGCAGCAGCUGACCUUCAGCAGGAGAAAAAUAAGCAAACUCUGACUCAAACCACCAAAGACCAUCUCUCUUGAAGCAAUGUGAUUUCUGUGGGAUUUAGCUACCACUUAUUGUCCAGCUUCUGAGCACCAGGAGCUACAUGGGCUCGGCAGAACCAUGAAUUAGACAUUGUUCCAGGCGCACAGCUAGUGAAUGGCAGAGCCACGAUUCAAAGCUGUGUCUGACAUCAGCAUCCAUGUCCUUAACAGCUCACCUGUCCACGACCUUAGCACUGAACAGGGUCACCUCCCCCAACUCCCGCCCUCUUAGUGGGACCCAGCCCUAAAUCAUCCUGGAAAGAUGGCUGAGUUAGGUCAGCUUGGGAGAAGAGAGCUCUUCCCUUAUUCGGGUCCCUGUCAUGGGACAAUGACAGUGUGAGCUGGAGUCAUGUGCAGCAGGAUUCAUAUGCUGCUCACUGAGCCUCUGUGUGCCAUUUCCUCACCAGUGAAGAGGGAAUAGGAAUUGUUCCCCUUGCACAGGGCUACAGGAUUAUGAGAGUUACCACAGCACCCAGCACUUCGUUGGAACUACACGGGUGCUUUCUACACCGUGCAAACCAGACCAGAAACGAACCCCACACUGUGAUAAGUGCUAAGGGGGAAGGAACAGGAGUCAGAGGUGUGGAAGUUUGUCAUCCAGGUGUGGAAGCAGGACCCCGUGCCAACAACUGACAGCUUACGACAUCACAGCGCCAGGAUGCAGCACAUGAGAUGGCCGGGCUCACGGAGGCACAGUUGCAGACGCCAGGAGCAGAGUAUGGAAGGGACUUUGGCGUCUGGACUGGGAAAGGACUGGGCCUGCUGAGCAGGGCUGAAGAAAAUUGCCCUGGCCAUUUCUACCCCUUGCCCUCAACUGUGCUGGGCAGCAGGAUCACCCAAGAAGAGGGUUGGAAAUGAAGAUUCCUUGGCCCUGCUACCUGGUACUCUGAUUCUGCAGGUCUCAGAUGGAGCCAAAGGGUCUAUGUCCUCCCCUGAGAUCAGAUGCAGAUGGUCCCUGGUCCCUUUGCACCCUUUGCAAGGCACUGUGUCCACAGGCACCAGUUCACUGAGUGAAGCGACAUGGUAACUUUAGCCUGCCAUGGGAGCAUUCUCACUCCCGCUGGGAGGUCAGGGCGGCCUCCAUCACUGAUCCAGUUCCCCUCAUGAAAUCAUUCCAUCUUAUCCCGACACGGUUGCCAGACAACUGUGCUUUUCUCGCCUUGUCCCCUGGGUUGUGAGCAUCAAGACAAAGCCCUGGGAUGGCAGCAACAACCAAGGGUAUUCAGAGCUCACACAGUCUUCCCCAUGCUGGGCCAGUUCUUCACCCCUCAGCAAUAAGUGGGAGAGGGGGCCUUUGUUCAGUGGAGACACUGAGGCCCCGGAAGUCAGGAGACUGCUUCAAAUCGCCCGGAAUCCCAAGGCAAAGCCCACCCACAUUUGAACUGGCUUCUGUCAGGAUAGCCCUUUAAAGCACAGCUUCUCCUCCUACCCAGGUCUGGCAGCUCUGGGAAAACCUAGAUGCUGAGGUCUGAGAGGAGACCACAAUGAGCUACUGGGACACAGGAAGUACUAACCAAGGUCAGACAACUAAGCAGCAGGGCAAACUCGCCAAGCAAGGGAUUCGCCACGCCUUCAAAGCAGACCACAAAAAAUAGCCUUGCCUCUCUUCCUUCCUCUCAAGAAUGCCAACAUCUCAGUGCUAAGCUUUCAACAACCUAUAAGGGAAAAAAAGUGGUUGUACCAGUUUAUAUUACAAUUCACUUUUAAACAAGGUUCUUAAAGAAGGCAACGUUUUAACCCAAGGGAGUUCAGAAGUGGAUUUUCAGGAAAGAACCGCGCAGCCGGCUCCAGACUUGCCCGUAAGAAAGACUCACUCUGCCUAGAAACCCGGCAUUACAGAUGUUCCCCAGCCUCUGCCUGAAAACCUGGACCGAAGCCCUGCCAGGAUGGCGUGACUUCUGGUCCGAAACUGCCCCUGCGGCCUCGUCAGGCUCCCUAAUGCGGCCACGCCCCGCUUUGCAGCCAGUUCCGCAGCGGGAAGCGCGGGUCCACAGCACUGAGGCAAGCGUCUGUCACUGCCUCAAAAGCCACUUUCUGUGGGGAGUGGGGGCGUGGAGACGCUGUGGGACCGGAAACGUGACAUCUUCCGGCGGCGCAGUGUUCCACCCUUCUUAUUCCCUCACUUCCGCCCAGUCCGGAACGUCAUCCAAAGUCUUCCUGGCUGCCGUCAGCUCAAUAGUUCCGUCCGCCUGAAAGUUGUCAAGUAGGCUGGGGGUGGGGCUGAGGAGGUCUUCCCUCUUCCCAAACAAAUAAAGCCUGCCCAAGAGGAAUUUCUUAAACUUA